UACGUAGGUGGCAAGCGUUGUCCGGAAUCAUUGGGCGUAAAGAGCGCGUAGGCGGCCCUGUAAGUCCGCUGUGAAAGUCAAGGGCUCAACCCUUGGAUGCCGGUGGAUACUGCAGGGCUAGAGUCCGGAAGAGGCGAGUGGAAUUCCUGGUGUAGCGGUGAAAUGCGCAGAUAUCAGGAGGAACACCGAUGGCGAAGGCAGGUCUCUGGGCCGAUACUGACGCUGAGGAGCGAAAGCGUGGGGAGCGAACAGG
rnacentral:rRNA from 1 species